GGAUCCAGUGGCCAUUCCGCUCUUCCCCCAGGGCGCCCCGAGUCUGGUAGUCAUUAAAAAGACAUAGCCCUUUAAAAGUGUGACACCGUCUUCCUUAAAGAGCCUGAAGCAAUGGCCCCAAAGAUAUCAGGACUCCACCUCCAGGACCUGAGACGGUGACCUUAUUGGGGAAAGAACUUUUUGUAGACUGUUGCCUUCAGAGCUCAGCCUUGCCUGAAAUCCAUCCACUCAAGAGCAGGUUCGCAAAGGGGAAAUGAAGGUCCACGGCAGAACGUGAAGAGGAAAAUGCUUUUCCAAACCCAGGCUGAGGACUGAGCCACGAGGUUGCCUGAUCUUCCCAGGUCCUCGUUCCUGAAUCCUGAUGGCCCAGGCAGUGCCUCUCCACCCAGCCCCCCGCCUGCCCAGACUCUGCCUCGGAACUAGAAGACUCUUCAAAAGAAAAAAGGGUGAAGCGAGCCAUGAGCAGAGGCUGGAAACAAAUAGUCCCCCUUUAGAUGUAGGUCAGCACUUCUCCACUGGCCCAACGCACACCGUCCCCCGUCCAGGAGGCGUGUCUGUUCAGCGGCACUAGCACCUCGCCCCAGCCCCUGCCGAAGGCAUCAAGCGUGGGCGAGGUCAGCCUCAAAAAUGAUUCUCCAAACGCGUUGGAUCUCCAGAUGCCUUCCGCGUAGAAAGCUAGGAUUCAUUUAUGAACAACCCGAAUCCGUUUCCCUGUAGGAGCAAAGGAGAAGAACGUGUCGUCUCCUCCAGACGGGGACACGGAGAACGGGGUGGCGUGAGGUCCCCUCUCAGAGGGGACGCGGGUCCUUUGGAAGAUGUGUCCUCGCCGUCUCCAGGGAACUGGAGGGGUGUCAGCUCCUCUGAAGCGAGUAUGCUGGUAAACGGAGAAUUUUCAAAGAAUUGGCUUUUUAAACAUUCAGUACCCAACGCGUUGAUGGACAAGUUCCACGUCAACUCAGUUGAAACGGCCAGCCUCCGACUGUCGGGUUGCUUGAUGUGACAAACCCAGCUCUAUGGCUGUGGCUGUAGACGGAGACGCUCACGUAAUGUGGGACGCGUGUUGGAUGCGGUGACUCUGCCACCUCUCGGUCUUUCGUAUCUGUCAGUCAUCCAUCUGCUGUCGUGGGUCACAUCUAUCCGUCUUUCAUCUCCCCAUGGCUCUAUCCCAUCUCCACUCUUCCAUCGCUCAGGAGCUGUGUAUCUAAUAUCAUCUGUCCACCCCCCAUCAUUGAUCUGCUCCAACAUCUCUCUACCACUGAUUGCAUCUGUAAGUCAUUCUUCUAUUUAUCUAUCAUUUUAUCUAUGUAUAUGUCUGUCCAUCCGGCCAAAAUAUCUAUUUAUCUAUCAACUGUCCAUCCAUCUUAUCUGUCUACCUAUUUCUCUAUCUUUUUAUCCAUCUAUCCAUCUCUAUCUAUAAUCGCUGUAUCCAUCUGUAUGUCUGUCUGUCUGUCCAUCCAUCCAUCAUAUCUUUCUGUCUGUCUGUCUUUCUAUCAUUGAUGUCUACUGUCUCUCAUCUAUGUCUGUCUGUCUCUCUAUCUAUCAUCUAUCUGUGUCUAUCAUCGAUCCAAUCAAUCAUUCACAGACGAUGCCCUCACUCAUUCUGCUGUUACCCUCGUUCUUCCAAUGAAAACCCACCUGAUGAAACCCUUAGUUACCUGAGGAAGGGCUGCAGCCCUAGAGAUGGAGCUGAGACGUGGCCCUUCCUACCUCUUUCCUGAAAGUGAUGUGACUCCCGGCCAGUUACGUUUGACCUGCUUCAGGGUCAUGGUUACACGUAUUCGCUCACGUACACAACCGUAGUCAUUGGUGUCGUGGGUCCAUAGACUACUCUGCGGUAACUCAGGCAGCGUUGUCAGUUUGGGUAUUUCAUUUUAUUCCCCCUUAUUAUUGUUGUGUAGAGUCCUUGCAGACACCUGUUGAGCACACGUUUGAAUGUGGGAAACACUUCUCUCUGAUGGAGCACGGGAGGUGAAUUGCAUAUGUGUGAGCUUCCUAGGCACAAGCAUCCUUGGACACUGGAGAUUUACAGGAUCGGCGGCUUCUGGGGAAGCUCAUGGGAGCCCACAUCAGUGGGCUGUUACCUGGGACCAGAACUUCUCCUCAUGGCUGAAUCAGGUCCCGUGUUUUGCUGUGGACGUAGCCGUCUGUUACCUCGGAUGUGUGUGAACUAUUUGACCUGCUCUGGAUGCUGUUCACACCGCAAUUCAUGUUGCCGUCACUCCCUCCAGGAGAUAAGAUGCAAAGGAAUCGGUUUCACCGUGGGACACAGCCCAGGGCUCAGAGCUCCAUUGCCAUGGCAGAUAAAGAUCCAGAGAGGAAACAUCGGGGCUGUACCCGUGGACUCAAGGACUCAGCUCUGCCCUGCGGUGGGCACGCAGAUGGACAUAGCCUCGACGGGUGGACGUGGUUGUGGGCGCGUGACAUGGUACGUAUGUGACUUUUCCAUGAUUUUCAAGUAUCGCAGAAUAUAGUUCUUUUGGACUUUUGUCCCAACCAUUUAAAAAAUGUAUAAUUAUUCUUAGCUCAUGUACAAAAACAGGCAAUUGGCAAGAUCUGAUCUAUAGGUCAAUGAUGGCCAUUAUCAAGUAUAGGUGACCUCACUUUGUCAGGCAAACAGAACCGAUACGAAAUCUGUCUAAUCUGCCUAGCUAUGUAGCUGUCUGUCUGUCUGCCUGCCUAUCAGUCGAUCGAUUUAUCAUUCCAGCUCUCGGUCUAUAUAUAUGUCUCUUUUUCUUUUCUUUUUUNUUUUUUUUUGUCUUUUUGCCAUUUCUUGGGCCGCUCCCGUGGCAUCUGGAGGUGGCUACGGCUCCAGUUAGAGCUGGGAACCUCCAUGUGCCGCGGAACCUCCAUGUGCCACGAGUGUGGCCCUAAAAAGACAAAAAAAAAAAAAAAAAUCCGUGCACCCCUGUGUUCAUUGCAGCACUAUUCACAAUAGCCUGGGAACCUCCAUAUGCCACGGGUGUGGCCCUAAAAAGACAAAAAAAAGGAAAAGAAAUGGAUGAUGGAGACAUGAUGAUGAAUAGAUGAUAAGUAGAUAGAUAGAGACAGAUGAUAUGCAGAUAAUGAAUAGAAUGACAGACAAUAGAUGCUCGCUCGCUGGGUGGGCAGACAUGGCAGCAGAUGGAUAGCAGGCUCUGCUUCUGUAUCUCUCCGUCUCCUCUCCUUUCUCUUCCUCGGGAGAGACCAGACAGCACCUGGCCCAGAGAACACGAGCCCCAGCAGAACCCGAGCCCCGCUCCCAUGUGGCUCAGGGCAGAGUUCAUUCCCAGGCGUGGUCCCCACACUAGGACUGAACUCUUUCAGUAACUGCUGGCCCAGCGCCCAACCUCGGGGGCCACGUCUAGACAGGUCUGGUUUCCGGCAUCUGAGCCAAGCACGUGCUCGGGUGUUCUGGCGGCCCCCACCCUGGCCUGCGCAACGCUCUAAAUACCUGUGGUCUAUGAACCGGGAGUCAAGAUAAGUAGGAUGUUAUGGAAACGUCUAAGCUUCCGAUGCUGCAUGGGGUUUUCAGGCUGUGCCGUCGGGUCUCAGGUGGCGAAGAGUAUUGGGAGGGGUCAGCGCCUCUGGGCAACUCCUGUCCAUUCUUGUUAAGUUCUGUUUCACACCCCCGCUGAGAUGGGUUUGCAUCCCCUCAGGUCAUGCUGCCCCACAGGCGUCAUUUGUAGGGACCUGGGAAGCUGCCCGUAGUCGUCACCAGGCAGGGGUCUUGGCAGAUCCCGGCAGCCUCUGGGGGCCUGGCUCUGUCUGCAGUGUCAGGAGGCUGGGAAGUUGCUCCAAGCCAUUGUGGGAACCUCGGUGCCUCCAUCAAGCAGCAUGGCCAUCUGUGUUCCUCCGUGACCAUGGCGUGGCUUCGUUUUUUUCGCCCAGCAAUUCGCGGGAUGGACACACCCCUCAGGAAUCUGGUCCCUCCCUCUUCCCCGUGGGUAAUUCAGAAACGAGGAGUUCCCAUCAUGGUCCAGUGGUUACAAACCCGACCAGUAUCCAUGAGGACAUCAGUUCGAUCCCUGGCACCUCUCAGAGGAAGAAGGAUCUGGCGUUGCUAUGGCUGUCGUGUACACCUGCAGCUGCAGCUCCGAUUCGACCCCAAGCCCGGGAACGUCUGUAUGCCGCAGGUGCAGCCCCUAAAAAGCAAACUAAAUUAACAAAUGAAAAAGGAUCCUUGUCGUUGACUUAGCAUUCAGGAAAAAGAAGGUUAUCUGUGUGCCUGUUUAGAGCAAUACCUCCAAGCCUUUCAGGAUACGCCAGAGGGACGUUUCUUUCCCCAGAGUCAGCCCCUCUCCCUGGCUCCCAUCCACCAGCCAUCGCGUCUCUUCUUCUAUUUCCAAACACUCAUAUAUGCCAGGUGGGCCAAGUGGGUGGACACGCCUGGGUACCCCUCUCUGUACAUUCCUCAGGCUCUGACUUCACUCCGCAGCCCUUUCCUAAGGAAAGGCUGGCCUCUCCAAAAAUCACACAGGCGCGAGGACUCAUCCCCGUUACCGUUUGGAAAACGGUCUGUGGGUGUUGGGACGUGCUCUGCCGGUGCUCAGCUCGCAAAAAUCCCACCGUCUGUUCCAGGAUCCUGUCCUGGACUCGCCCCGCUGGUGGAGGUGCCUUCUCUGAGUCUCCCGGGUACGGGGCCAGCGGCCGCCCCCAGUGAAAUGAACUGAUGUCUGUGGACUCGGGCCAGGCCAGUGAGGCACGAGGAAGGCUGCAACUAUUUGCAGAGAACGUGCCCUGUGCAGCUCCCUAAAUAGCCGGGGUUGGGAAGAGCCGGAAGCUGGGGUCCGUGAUGGCCAGCAUGAGGCGUCAAGGAGGUUGCUGUCCCCAGGCGUCCCUGGUGGUCCCAGAAUUCUUCACAAAGACAGUGAUGCCUGGGGCCAGGUUCGCUGGUGGCAGGACCCCGCGGGGAGGGGUCCACGUGGGAGACAUCUCCUUGCGACUCACGCCCCCAGGUGUGUCUGGUCGCAGCUGGAUCAUGACACGCCAACGUGGAAGUCCUUGACGGUGAGAACCUGGAGCCAUCGUCGCCGGGUGAGACGGAAGGGACACCGCCAUGCUUUGCGCGCAGCAGUUUCAAGGCGCAGAAGGCAAACGGGAUGCCCACGUGAAACUAUGCUGCAGCAGUGCCCGCAAAUGUGCCCGGGCUCGCACAGGAUUCCGACGUGGCAAGUCCCAGGUGCGGCUGGAGCCCGUCCAUUUGUGCCUGGCGCCCAGGUGAUCCUGCUGGUGGUGGGAGCGCCUCUAGAGAUGUGUUCUAGUGGCCUGGCGUCAUAGCCACUAGCCAUCCAUGGCUAACUAAAUGGCGUAAAAUAAAGGCAAAUCUAAAACCUUACUUCUUUGGUCCUAUGAGCUACAUUUCAAGUGCCAGGCAGCUGCCAUAUGGAUAGUACAGCAGAGAACAUUCUUCUGUCAUUGCAGAAAGUUCUACCAAACUCUGCUAGGGUAGGGCGUUCCUGCUAUGGCUCAGGGGGUUAGGAAACUGACUAGUACCCAUGAGGAUGUGGGUUCAAUCCCUGGCCUCACUCAGUGGGUCAGGGAUCUAGCAUUGUCAUAAGCUAGACAUGUGUUGGUCGCAGACACUUCUCAGAGUCAGCAUUGCUGUGGCUGUGAAGUAGACCAGCAGCUGCAGCUCCGAUUCCACCCCUAGCCUGGGAACUUCCAUUUGCUGCAGGUGCAGCCCCUAAAAAAGCAAAACAAACAAACAAAAAAAAAACUGUGUUCGUCUAGAGGCUGGCUGUCACGCAGGAACGUCUAGUUACCACGGGGUUAAUAGGUUUUAAUGUUUGGAGUGUUUUUUAUCAUAAGAUGCUAAGGGGCGUGGUACCUCCAUAAGAUUCUGAACACUGGUGUAAUGCCUUUUAUAAUCAGGGCACACAUACACCCUCCCUCAGAAUGCAAGGCUCCCUCGAUGAUCGAAAAGCCAGGCUUUCAUUUCCCUAUGAAAGCCUGAAACAUCCCCCCAGUUGCCAUAUUUCCGGAUAGGUUCGUGUGUGCGCACUCGCAGGCUCUAAUGCAGGAGAGCUGUACACAUCGACAGCUGCCGGGAUACCCCGUCUGCCUCCUCUCAUGUUUUCUUAGCCUUAUUUUCCAUUCUCUAGAGGAGCCAGAGACACGCAGAAUGAGGUUUCUCCUGAGCAGGAAGCGUGCCCGUGAGCAACCAGCUGAGAAGUCGACCCAUCACAUGUGAAAAUGAGAAAGUCCCGUCGAGGCCAGACCCCGCUGUCCUUGGAAAGGUGCGCAAUUGAUCCAGUUCAGACGUCGGGGGCUGUCUUGGUGUUGAGUUGAUUUCUUCCAAGGGGUGAGGGAGCAAUUCAGGUUCCCUGCCCAGCGGGUGCUCUGCCUCCCUAGUUCCGGAGGCUGGACUUUCAAGACCUGCUGAGAGCCAUCUUCCUGGUUCAUCAAUGGACGUUCUCUCCAUCAGGACAGAGACAAGACAGUUCCUUCUUACCCGUGAGAGAUACAUGUAUUGUCCAUGACUCCGCAGGAAAUUGAUUUCCCCAACCCGAUGCAGAGAUGGGGAAGGGGGGAGCCAAAAGAAGGGUUUGCUGUCCAUCUUUGGCGCCAGAGGAGAAGUCAGCCCCCAGAAGCUAAGCACUGAGAAGUCCAGUCUUCCACAUCCAGGGGUUUCCAGAUUCCCACUCGUGUAAGAAAUGCAGCGUGAUGUCCCAGUUUUCGUGCUUUUCUUGAGAUGUGGUCCCCUUGGAGGAGCUUCCCCCGCCAGGAUGGAAUUUCAGAGCUUUCGGCUCGAGAAGAAGGGAAAUGCCCCGAACAGCCACCCCCCAGGCCCCUUGUGGCCGCUGAGAAGUUGGGGAGGAUGCAGCCAUAAAGGAGGAUGUGAAAAGUAGGCGCGAUCGCAAGGCACGAAUCUCGGAAUCUUCGUGUUUCAUCGGGAAGGCAGAGGAGGAAGGAAUCUGCGAGGUGCAGCCGCCUCUUCUGACCUCAGGAUGGACGGAGAGGGCGUGAAGGACCCGUCAGUGACCAGCUGUUGCACAGAGAGCCCAGGGGAAGGGGGUGCCCUGGCGGGCACAUGGGAACCGAUGCUGCGGCUCACGAGAAGUUGGAGGAACAAACUGCUUUGUCCCAGGAGAAGAGGAGCAGGAUGGAACAGAUGCCCGCUGUAAUCGUGGGCGGAACCGGAGGGACGGACGCAACGCUUGGCGCUUCCGAUUCUGACAGUGGCUGACCUCGCGGGAGAUGGAUGCAGGAGGGUCCAGAUGUUCCGAUGAGGAAACGGAGGCCACUAAGUGUUGUGUAACGUCCCAAGGGGACCCAGCUCUGAAGCGGUGGAGUCAGAAUGGGUUGCUUAACAGCCACCCCCACCCUCGGCUCGGAAGACGUCCACACCCAGGUAUGAAAAUGCCCUGUGGGAGUGUCUGUUGCUGCUCAGUGGGUUAAGAACCCAACAUAGCGUCCGUCCAAGGGAUGCGGGUUUGAUCCCUGGCCUCGCUCGGCGAGUUAAGGAUCUGGUGUUGCCACAGGCUGUGGUGUAGGUCACAGGUGCGGCUCGGAGCCUAUGUUUCGGUGGCUGUGGUGUAGACUGGCAGCUGCAGCACUGAUUCGACCCCUAGCUCGGGAACUUCCAUGUGCUGCGGGGGUGGCCCUGAAAAGAAAAUAAAAAAGAAAGAAAGCAAAUGCCCUGUGGAAUGACCACAUGAUAGUGACACAGUCUCGUGGCCUUUCUCUUGGGAACAGGCACACCUCCUUCCGAGCCACCUAAGUUCCUGCCUCUUGACUUUCUAGACACCCUUCACUGUUUAAAGGGGGGAGAACAAUAAGAAGACAAAGCAAAUGCUCCUUUUUUGGGUCCUUUUUAAAACAUUUAUUGACAUAGAGCUGAUAUAUCAGCUUGUGAUCAUCUCUGCGAUACAACAAACUCACGAGCUCCUGUUAUUUGUAGACUUUUUGAUGAUGGCCAUUCUGACUGGUGCAAGGUGGUCCCUCAGUGUAACUUUGAUUCGCAUUUCUCUAAUAAUAAGCGAUGGGGAGCAUCCUUUCAUAUGCUUGUUCUUUGGAGAAACGUCUGUUCAGGUCUUCUGCCCAUCUUUUGAUUGGGUUGUUUGGCUUUUUUGAUAUCAAGCUUCACGGGUUGUUUGUGCCUUUUGGAGAUUAGUCCCUUGUGUGUCACUUCAUUUGCAAAUGUUUUCAGCCAUUUCGUGAGUGGCCUUUUUGUUUCGUUUGAUUUCCUUGGCUGUGCAAAUGUGUUUAAGUUUAUGUAGGUCCCAUGUGUUUCUGUUUUUAUUUUCAUUACUCUAAGCAGUGGAUCCAAAAAGAAAUUGCUGCAGAUUAUGUCAAAGAAUGUUCUGCCUCUGUUCUCCUCCAGGAGUUUAAUCAUAUCUGGUCUUACAUUUAGGUCUUUAAUCCAUUUUGAGUUUAUUUUCCUGUAUGAUAUUAGAGAAAGCUGGGAGUUCCUGUCGGGGUUCAGUGGAACUGAAUCCAACUAGGAACCGUGAGGUUGCAGAUUCAAUCCCUGGCCUCGCUCAGUGGGUUAAGGAUCUGGUGUGGCCGUGAGCUGUGGUGUAGGUCGCAGACAUGGCUUGGAUCUGGCAUUGCUGUGACUCUGGCAUAGGAGGGCAGCUAUACCUCCAAUUAGACCCAUAGCCUGGGAACCUCCAUGUGCUGCGGUGCGGUCCUAAAAAGACGGAAAGACAGAGAAUGCUAUCAUUUCAUUCUUUUGCAUGGAGCUGUCCAGUUUUCCCAGCACCACUUAUUGAAGAGCCUGUCUUUUCUCCAUUGUAUAUUCUUGCCUCCUUUGUCAUAAAUUAAUUGUCCGUAGGUGUGCGGGUUUAUCCUGUUCCAUUAAUCCACAUUUCUGAUUUGCGUCAGUGCCAUACUGUUUUGAUGACUCUAGUUCUGUGAUAUAAUCUGAUGUCAGGGAGCCUGAUUCCCCCGGUUCUGUUUCUUUUUCAGGAUGGCUUUGGCUGUUUGGGCUCUUAUGUGUUUCCAUAUAAAUUUAAAAAUAUUUUGUUCUAGUUCUGUUAAAAAAUGUCAAGGCAAUCUACAGUCUCAAUUCAUUAGUUUCUUAGAUCCGAGGCACAGGUCCAUAAAUGCCUAACAACAGAGACAGACCAGCAAAAUGUUCAUGCAGUUUAGAUUCUGAGAACUUGACUUGUGUUUUUAUUCUAGGUUUUGAUUCAUAUUUUUUCAAAAAAUCAGAGUUUAGAAUUUGUGACAAAUUGGCAGUGUUGUGUUGUGACUCAGUGGGUUACGAAUCUGAUUAGUAUCCAUGAGGGAUGCAGGUUCAAUCCCUGUCCUUGCUCAGUGGGUCAAGGAUCCUGCAUUGCCAUGAUCUGUGGUGUAGGUCACAGAUGCUGUCUGGAUCUGGCAUUGCUGUGGUUAGUAUAGGCUGGCAGCUGCAGUUCUGAUUCAGCCUAGGAACGUCCAUGUGCUGAGGGUGCAGCCCUAGGGGGAAAAAAAAAAAGAAUUUGGGACAGGUUGGGAUGGGUCAUGAAGGAAAAGACCCCACAAUCUAUAUCCAGCACACAGCAGGGUUUCCAUGCAGAAGACAGUGUUGUCAGCACAGAGAUUCAGUUAAAAAAUGGAGGUUUUGAGAAACUCUCUCUCUGCUCACUCAGGAGUGUUAUCCUGAGACAGAUCCCAAAGAUGAAAAUAAAGCAGCUCAUUCUGAGCAACAAAGGCCACGUGAAAAUGAAAACGAGUUCCCUGGUGGCUCAGCUGGUUAAGAACCCAGUGUUGUCACUGCUGUGGCUCGAGUUCGAUCCCUGGCCCAGGAACUUCUGCAUGCCAUAGGUGUGGCCAAAAGGAAAAAA
rnacentral:lncRNA from 1 species